rnacentral:lncRNA from 1 species
UGACAUGUUUCCAAGAAAAAAAGGUUUUGUUUUCUUUUUUAAGAAUUUUGAAGUUUCUUGUUGACUUUUCAGAUUGCUUUUUGGGUCGGUUUGCCAAAUAUUUUUUCUUUAGAAAAAAAUAAUAAUAUUAAAUUAUAUUCAAGAAAAUAUAACGUUUUUACAUCAAGUGCAACUAAAAUCUAAAACAUGAUAGCUAAAAAAAAAAAACCCAAAUUAAUACUUUAGUUUCGUC